GCCAGGUAGAGGGCGGGUCCCCUCUGGUGGAAGGCCAGGUAGAGGGCGGGUCCCCUCUGGAGGAAGGCCAGGUAGAGGGCGGGUCCCCUCUGGAAGGCGGGACCCCUCAGGAAGGCAAGGUAGAGGGCUAAUCCCCUCUGGAGGAAGGCGAGGUAGAGGGCGGACCCCCUCUGGAAGGCGGGACCCCUCAGGAAGGCAAGGUAGAGGGCUGGUCCCCUCUGGAGGAAGGCGAGGUAGAGGGCUGGUCCCCUCUGGAGGAAGGCGAGGUAGAGGGCGGACCCCCUCUGGAAGACGGGAGCCCACAGGCAGGAGCGGAGGGCGGGCCCCCUCCGGCAGGAGAGGAGUGGGCUCAGGAACCGGACAGGGCUCGGGAACCAGAGUCAGUGCGGGAGCUGGAGUGCCAGGAGGAACCGGGUGGUACCCCAAACUCACCACCCCCACUCUGAUUGUCCGGAAGGGAGGAGGCUGGUAGCUGGGGACCGGGGGCAGAGGCUGGUAGCUGGGAACCGGGGGCAGAGGCUGGUAGCUGGGGACCGGGGGCAGAGGCUGGUAGCGGGGAACCGGGGGCAGAGGCUGAGAGCAGGAGCGUGGAGGCUUAGGCCGGUCACCAAAGUCCGGUGGCAGUGGCAUGUAGCUCUCCGGCCAAAAGGUUGUGGGGUUGAGCAGCUCGACUGCCCACUCG
ensembl:lncRNA